UACGUAGGGUGCGAGCGUUAAUCGGAAUUACUGGGCGUAAAGCGUGCGCAGGCGGUUAUGUAAGACCGAUGUGAAAUCCCCGGGCUUAACCUGGGAACUGCAUUGGUGACUGCAUUGCUCGAGUAUGGCAGAGGGGGGUGGAAUUCCACGUGUAGCAGUGAAAUGCGUAGAGAUGUGGAGGAACACCGAUGGCGAAGGCAGCCCCCUGGGCCAAUACUGACGCUCAUGCACGAAAGCGUGGGGAGCAAACAGG
rnacentral:rRNA from 1 species